UUCCUUACCUGGUAGGGGAAAUACCAGGAUCACCAAGGUCUUUUUCCCAGGGGGAGGCUCACCCCAUUGUAAUCCUGGAGUGCUAACCCCUGCGAUUUCCACAAAUGCAGGAAACUCGACUGCAUAAUUUGUGGUAGUGGGAGACUGCAUUUGUGCUUUCCCCUA
rfam:Myotis davidii contig27975, whole genome shotgun sequence.